CUGGUGAUGGCUGGAGAACACUCUGGAGGCCCAAAAAGCCAUCUGUCAUGUGAGCUCAACAGCAAGCUAACCCCACCUGAUGGGUUGGAGCUAACGGCAACAGAGGGCUGCCAAGCCUCCAGCCCCCUGGGAAGAAGCAUGCAUUGUCUCUCAAGAGAACCGUGUGAGAAAGAUGGAGGGCCCCCAGAAGCCUAUACGAUCCGUGGGUCAUGGGUGCAGUUAUCCAGAUGAAAAGAUCAAGCUGGAAAAGACUGCUUUCUCUACCAACUGAGGACUUUGUGCCAAACCAAGAAAAUGAG